UACGUAGGGGGCUAGCGUUGUCCGGAAUCAUUGGGCGUAAAGCGCGUGUAGGCGGUCCGGUAAGUCCGCUGUGAAAGUCGGGGGCUCAACCCUCGAAUGCCGGUGGAUACUGUCGGGCUAGAGUGCGGAAGAGGCGAGUGGAAUUCCUGGUGUAGCGGUGAAAUGCGCAGAUAUCAGGAUGAACACCGAUGGCGAAGGCAGGUCUCUGGGCCGAUACUGACGCUGAGGAGCGAAAGCGUGGGGAGCGAACAGG
rnacentral:rRNA from 1 species